rnacentral:snoRNA from 1 species
UGGAUCGAUGAUGACUACUGGUGGCGUCUGAGUCGUGUACGAUGAAUACGUGUCUGGAGCUCUGAGGUCCGA